AUGGGCUCCAUUUUCCUCAGUUGCCUGGCCGUUUGUCUCCUGGUGGCAGGUCCAGUCGACCCGAAAAUUAUCCAGAAACCAAAAUAUCUGGUGGCAGUCACAGGGAGCGAAAAAAUCCUGAUAUGCGAACAGUAUCUAGGCCACAAUGCUAUGUAUUGGUAUAGACAAAGUGCUAAGAAGCCUCUAGAGUUCAUGUUUUCCUACAGCUAUCAAAAACUUAUGGACAAUCAGACUGCCUCAAGUCGCUUCCAACCUCAAAGUUCAAAGAAAAACCAUUUAGACCUUCAGAUCACAGCUCUAAAGCCUGAUGACUCGGCCACAUACUUCUGUGCCAGCAGCCAAGA